rnacentral:lncRNA from 1 species
AUGGGCAGAUUUUUGUGCUGAAUUAUUAUUUUAUUUAUUGCAAAAAAAUUAGUGAGAUUAUUCCUUAGCAAUUUCUCGAUGAUUGGUUCAAUUGUAUAUAGGAUGUUUGAUUAGAAAUUGUUAAGAACUUAUUAGAAGAUGAAUCCAGUUUCAUGUCUCAUUUCAUGCAUUCAGGUAUAAUGAAUUGAAGAAAAUUGGGUAAUAUAAGACAUAUUCUUGUUUCGCUUGUGCUGUUGAUUAUGUAUUCAUGACGGGCAGUAAGUUGAGCUGGUCAUUCACUUUUCAAAUGACAUAUCUAGUUCAUUUUCUCUUCAUUGCAGUCAGAAUGGGAAGUUCAGCUAUGGGUAUGCAAGCUCUCCUGGGAAAAGGUCUUCAAUGGAAGACUUUUACGAAACAAGAAUUGAUGGUGUUGAUGGAGAAAUUGUUGGCUUGUUUGGAGUUUUUGAUGGUAUUUAAUUGUCUUUAAUAUAAAAAGAGAUUAGGUGUAGUAUGUUUUGAGUAUGUACUCAUAGAUGAUACAACUUAUAGAUUUUGCAUUUCUAUGCGAAUAGCAGGCAUGGAUUCUGUACUACAUUUCUACCUUUUAGUCUCUUAAAUUGGAAAGUCUCACAGCGUUCAUUCAGGUCAUGGUGGUGCUCGAGCAGCAGAGUAUGUCAAAGAGCACCUCUUCAGCAAUUUGAUUAAACACCCCAAGUUCAUUAGCGAUACCAAGUCAGCUAUAGGUGUUUUUUGUUUACGAUUUCAUCAUUUGAAUUUUUAUUCCUGUCAAUAUAUGUAUAUAUCUAAUCAUUUCUGUCUGUACUAUAACCUUGCAGCUGAUGCAUACAAUCAUACUGACUCAGAGUUUCUGAAAUCUGAGAUUAGUCAAAAUCGAGAUGCUGGCUCAACUGCUUCCACUGCCAUCCUUGUUGGUGAUCGUUUGUUGGUUGCAAAUGUUGGAGACUCUAGGGCUGUUAUAUGCAGGGGAGGGAAGGGUAAGGCCCUAAAAUAUGUACAAUUAUGAUGCAUCUUUAUGUUAAUUUGUUGCAGUGGAUAUAUGAAGCCAAAGAAUAUAGACCUAAUUGGCUUGUUCUACAUAUACUUUUUGUGCAUGAUUUAGUACUUCCAUAAGAGAUGACUUGUAGUAUUGGACCUAAUAUAUCUAUGUUGUGACCAUCAAGAUUCACAAUUUCGUACCAUAUCGAGAUCAGUUCGGUACGGUACAAGUAUACCGAGUGGUACGCUCUAGCAUACCGCUUGGGGGGUGUGUGUAUAUAUAUAUAUAAUAAUAAUAAUAAUAAUAAUAAUAAUAAUAAUAAUAAUAAUAAUAAUAAUAAUAAUAAUAAUAAUAAUAAUAAAAGUUAAAAAAUAAAAAAAGGGCGACGUCGCCUUGUUUCUUCUCGCUGCGUGGGGAGAAGAAACCUCAUUUUCUUCGCCCCAUAAAUCCUCGGUGACGUCGUCGCCGAGGCUUCUUCUCCCCACGCGGAUGAGGAGAAGUCACCAAUGACACCGAGGCCUCGUCGCCUCAGACGAGGAGGAGGCGACAUCUCAUCUGCGACGUCCGACGAGGGAGGGCGGUGACGGAUCGAGAUCGUCGAGGGAGAGCGGCAUCAGAUCUCCAGGUUCUCCCUUUUCUUCUCCCUCUUCUUCCUUCUCCUUUGGCUAAUAUCGCCUCGUAACAGGCGGCGACGGUCGAAAUCAACCGUCACCGACUGAUUUCGCGUGGUAAUAGGACGGAAACUGCCCCAAUCGAUGGUACUGCCCGGUAGCGGGCGGUCCGCGGACCAGUACGUACUGCCCGGUGCAGCCAGUAUCAUUCAAAAUUAAAAACCUUGGUGACCAUAAUAGUUUUAUUAUCUGCUGUUACUUGUGACAAGGAGGUUGGUCAUUUGCAUUCAACUAUGUUUUUCAAUGACACUAGAUUCUUCUAGUAUUAUAUGAUGUCUUUGAAUUUGUUAUUGUGCUGGGUACAACUAGCUCUUCUCAUUGGUCUUUAUUUGUUUAGGCUAGACUGUGUCCUAGUCUGGGACAUUCCUAACAACCUGCUACAUGGUUUGCGAUCGCUUACCAAAUUGCCUUUAGGGCUUUGGUGCAUAAUUUGUUAUCACAUAAGCUUACUUUCAUAAAGAAAUUUCCACCAAAUUUUGGGGUUUGACUUAGGCUUAGAAACGUGCCGAUAAUUUCACGAGGCAUUCUUGUUUUUGGUUGUACUCUACAGUUGAUGACAAGCGAUUAAAAGAAGAACGGAUGACAAUGAUAUGAGUGUAUUACUCUAGAAAACAUGCAUACAAAGCAAGAUGAAACAGAAUGGGAAAAAGAAAGGAUCUUUCAAGUUUAUUAUUAUGGAAACACAUGCUUGACCUGAAACUAAUCUGACCAGCCAGCUCUUCAAAGAUUUUCUGAAACAAUGCACCAACAGGUUAUGUAUUGCUACCUGAACCCAAGUCAACUGCCAGCCGGUCUUGUUAAAUGGUUCCACUCAGUCGUGGUGAUCCAUCUUGGAUUGAGAUUCCCACCUCAAUAUGUAGGAUCACAAUUAUUUGAAGGCCAUGGAAUACGUAGGGUGAACUAUCCCAUUGUGAUUUUAAGCAUAUUAUAACUAGUCAAUUAGUCAGUUAUCUUACCGAUUAUCUUCUAAAGAUUAGUCACCUAGCUUGUUUUGAUUUCGUAGACUCAUAUAUAUGCUUUUGUAGCAUUUGCUGUCUCGAGGGAUCACAAGCCCGAUCAAACAGAUGAGAGACAACGGAUUGAAGAUGCCGGAGGCUUUGUGAUGUGGGCUGGUACUAAUUUUCUUCCAAAAGUUGUUCCUUCUUUAUCACUUGAAUCCUAACACAUCUAUGACUGCAGGAACAUGGCGUGUCGGUGGUGUUCUUGCUGUAUCACGUGCAUUUGGUGACAGGCUCUUGAAGCAGUUUGUCGUUGCAGAUCCAGAAAUCCAGGUUUGGAUGCUUAUUUAUAUUUUAUUAUAAAAUCAUAGAAUGUCAUUCUAUGAUCAGUGAAUUGUUAUUAUAAGUCAAAAGUAAAAAAAGCUUUUUCGUAUUGUUCUCAAGCUUUCUAGUUAAAUCUUAAUGUGAUUACAGGAGGAGGUAAUUGAUAAUUCCCUGGAGUUUCUUAUCCUUGCGAGUGAUGGAUUGUGGGAUGUUGUUACAAAUGAGGUAUUUUUAGCUUUUUAUGACCAUGAUAGCAAUCCCAAACAUACUAGUUACAUCAACUAAAUCUCUCUUUUUGGGAAACAUCAUAGGAGGCCGUAGCCAUGAUACAGCCCAUAGAGGACCCAGAACAAGCAGCAAAAAGGCUUUUGCAGGAAGCGUAUCAAAGAGGGAGCGCUGACAAUAUCACUUGUGUUGUGGUACGUUUCUUGGCUGGCCAGGAAAACACUGGAACAGUGCAACAGUGACGCUCGCUGCUUCAUCUUGUUUUAGUCUUAGUUGUCAGCGACUAGUGUUUGACCGAGAAAUCAAUGGAUUUUGCACAUAUGAAAAGCUGCCAGGUUGCUGAAAUCUUUGUUUGUGGAAGAAGGUUGAAUUGUCUCCGUAACACCCUUGUUUGUUUACUCAUGGUGGCUAACCUACAAAAUUGUGUUGUAGAAGAAUUUUAGUCCUGAAUGUAUCCGAUUAAGACUUAAUUUGAUGUAAUAUAUCAACUAAUGUUUGAAUGCAUUUGCGUGAGUGUGAUCGUGUUUGAAACAUAUGGCCUCACAGUGUGUGGGCAGUAUAUCCGAGCUGCAGCAAGCCAUAUGUCAGAUUGUUGUAUGUAGCAAAUCAGAGUCAGGCUUUUAGCUUCCUCAAGAUGUUUAAAGCUACUUGUUUUUCCUUUCUUUUCCCUUCCUUUGUGUGUUUGGUAUGUAAUGUUGAUGAAUGGUUGAUCCCAAACUUUAUAAUAAUAUAAAACCGUGUCAAAUGAAUGAUCAGAUCGCGAGAAGAAGAGAUUUCUUCCUAGUCGAGGUCUGGUGAAUAUAUUUUGGCCUUGUUUGGUCUAGUCAUUUGAUCAUAAAUUGCUGCUACCUCACUGCAACAUUGUUGAAUUUUAUGGCUUAAUGGCUGGUGUUGUGCAGGAGUUUUAAGCAAGUGACAGUGUCAUGUUCAGUUUGGUUUCGGAUUACAAUGACAGCAUGUGUGAAUAUAUCAUAACCAGACAAUGAAGCUGAUAAAACAUCAAGAUUUGGUAAAAUAAUAUUAUUCCACAAACAGAUUAUGGCUUAUGAUGCCUCAGCAGUGGAGGAGGAUUUCCCACAAGACUGUAAUCUGCACUAUCCAUGAGUUCUCUUAAUAGCAGUAACAUCAUUAUCCAAAUAUCAUACACACAGUAACUAUGAGUUCCACUACAGCAGGCAAUUAGCUUUUUUUCUUCUCCAUCUCCACACCUAAUUCCUAAGCAGAGAGAAGGUUUGUCUUGAAGACUAUAAGUAGUGUUCAGCCAAUUUGUUCUGCUAGUACAAGAAAAUUUCAGGGUAAUCACUAAAUUUGGUAGAUGAACAUCGCUGGUGGAUCAUUAGCAUGCAUGCAGUCAACCAGGGAAUGGCAUUGAGUCAGUUCAGAUAUUGGAGAAUCAUUGCAAACUCUUUACAUGCAGUAAGGAGAGCAUGUUUUGCACGCCACGUAAGAAGCAUUCCAUGCUGCAAUGAAGACAACCGCAUGCUGCUAAAUCCGCCAUGGCCCAUUGAGACUUAACAUGCUGAUUCAGAUGAUGCCUUCUCGUCUUCUACCUCUUGUCUCUGCAUGUGUCAGGAGUGGGUCAUAAGAAUCUCCAACCAUGGCUUCCAAAUCCUGUCUCAUAUCCCUCUCAACCCCUUCUGAUCCUAUACAUUACGUUAAGGUAAAGUUUGAAUCAUGUGAACAAUCUCUAUCAUGUCGUGAAGGUAAAAUUUGAGCACCGAAGAAUCUUUCCUCAGGACAGCCUCAUCAUUCUUGAUCUUAACUUAAUCAUUUGAAGUUGUGUGGAUAUUUCGUCAAACUCUAGAGCGGUGGGAUUCGUUCGUACUGGGUGGUCCUUGAGAGCCCAAGAUUCCAUUAGUCUCCACCAAGACAAGAUAGAUGGAACAAGGAUUGAUCCCAGCACAGGGUUCCACCAACAUUAUGCUUGGCAGAGCAGCAAGACCACUCACUAGACCUUCUUGCAUCAGGCAGUGAUAACCCCUCAAAAGAAGGAUAUGAACAUGGGAGUUCGGUAAGCUCUCUUCUUCCUCCUUUCUAUUCGUCUUUCACAGGCAGACCUGAGAAGAUUACUCGAUGGAAUAGACAGGUUUUCAAAGUGGAGCUGUUUGGUUCGACACGAGAUUUGUAAUCCAGACUGGCUUAUGGGACAUGCAAUGAUUGUCCUGCUACCUCAUCUGAUCAGAUGACAGUAUCUUCUACCAGCACUGGUGCAUCUGAAGAACAGGGAAGGAAGAGUUGGCUUCACCUCACCGAACGGGAACCAAGAGAUCUUGGCCUUGGACAACAAAUGCAUGCUGUCCGUUGUCGGCUUUCGAACGAAAGAGAAAGAUCCUAAUGAUGCCUAUCCAUGCCGGAUUAGAAUUCUACAAGAAGCAUCUCCCGAACCAUCAUAUGACAAGGAGAAUAAGUGGUGUCUUGUCAUUAAAGCUUUCGUUGGCCUACCUCUUCUAGUGUACAUUGAAUGAUAAUUAAGAUGCUUUAUAACCCCGUCCUAAAACCAAUCGAUCUGAGGAUGGAGGAGUAACAAAAAUGCAAUCUUUCUAACAAGAAUACAAGCUCAAUGUGUGGUGUUAUAAUAUCUUGCGAAUUAUAUGGGGGAGAAGAGAAGAGAGAGGUUGAGAUUAGGAGUUGUGUCAUCCGAUGCUACCCACCAGAAAGAUUAUGAACUUAAUCCAAGUUCGAAGGAGAGAAGAUCGACUUGGUUGUAAGGUAGUAAGCAUCCCUUUCAAGUCCCAAAAGGACAUCAUAAGUAGGCAAAUGGGAAAGAUUAGAUUUUGGCAGUAUCUCCUAAAUGUUGUUGUAAUCUGAGUAUUCUUCCGCUCUUCUCCUGUGUCGAGAAAACAUUGUUAUCAAUCUGAUUUCACCAUUAUCUUCUCCACACCUUCUUUGUCUCCUUGGCUUCACCUCCAUCAGAGCUGCACCUUUCUUUUGUUGUCAUCCUAAGCAAUCUCUUGGUGGCUGGUGUGAGGGGAAGACCCUCUACACUACUUCUCUUUAUUGUUCGAUCGACUACUGAUGGUUGCGGCUUGCGAACGACGUCAUCUCUGGAAAUGAAGCUUGGAGUCAGAUGUGAUGACAGGGAGGGAUGACAGAUGGAAGAAACAAGAGGAAGAUGCUUGAUGUGCUGUGGGGAGUUGAAGUUGCAGGUGAGCAAUGUCUUCUGUUACUUUGUCAUCAGGUUGAUCAAAUUCUCUUUUUCUCUUUUCUUUUGGUUUGGGUAAGUACUUUUAUAGCAUCAUGUUGAAAGCUUUUAUAGCACCAACACAAAAAUGAACCAAUUUAAACUCAUUAUAGGGCCAAAAACACAUUGUGUGACAGAAAUCAUCUGAAAUAUGGUGUCUAAUUCAACAUAUUGCACCUCUUUCUUAUUCAGUUGUCUUCUGUAUAAUUCAUGUGCUGUCAAGAAAUUUUAGGUAUGUUUCCCAACUUCCAGUGUGUGUCUGCCAUAGUUUACUUGGUAUGAUUCUUUCUCUGCUUCCAUCAACAAAGACAUUGAGCUGUGUGAAGUGUCUCAUUGUUAGAUCUGAGUAAUACCCCUUCAAAGCACUCUUUUCCUCUCUUUGAUUCUGUAUGUUGAUGAUCUUAAGCAUGACUGUUGUUGGGUUUGAAGGACUUUGUUUAUCUCCUCCUUUUUCUGUGGCUUUCAAUUUUUCUCUCUCGAGUAUUCUUUGAAGUCUAAACUUCGUUAUUAUUCUGCCAAAAUUCUCCCAACACCAUUUCUUCUUCCAAUCUAAUGAUCCUAAUAUACUGGUGUUGAUGUUGGCAAAGGAAGGUGCUUGUUCUUGAUGAGACAUCAGAGUGGAUCCGACUUGUCGAUGCAUGUAAUGGAUUGUUACUGUGUGAUGAUUGAAGCAUGCCUUGUUCUGAUCAUUGAAGCAUGUCUCCAUGCACCAACUAUUCUAUCCUACUUGUAUCGCAUCCUUCCCUGUUACCUUUGAUGAAGAGAGAAUGUUCAUGAGGAGUGUCUCUUGCCAUGUAGAACUGCACGCGGGUAGCUGCAGCGAGUGUCCAACCAUGGAUAGCUUCCUACGACGACAUGAGUUAGAAUCGCUGAGGAGCACAAUGCUGAAGCAUGAAGAGGUCUUCAGACAUCAGGUAGAACUGUGUUCGGAGACAUCCAAGAACUCAAAAGUACUCCAGCUUUGAUGCGUCGUCUUGAUCAGAUUCUGAUGCAACGAAUGGCAGGUGCAUGAACUGCAUCAACUGUACAGAGUUCAGAGGAUGCUGAUGGCUGAGCUGAGGAGCGAAGGGCUGAAGCUUCGGUAUCUCGCCAAUGCAACUCUGAGCACGACGACGGGCGCAGCCACCACCAGACUGUGGAGCAGUACAUCUACCGUCACCAACGUGCAUCAGAGGAAGGUGAGCUCGAUGGAGCUCAACCUCUGCUUCGAUCUCGAGCAGCCUGGCGAAGCAGUGGCCGCCGAGGAACGGUCGACGGCCGCCGGAAAACACCGGGAAGAAGAGAGGAGCAGCGGAGGACGUCGUAAAUGGAUGGAUGAUGAGAGUGGCGUUGAGCUUACACUCAGCAUAGGACGUGGCAGUGGUAAGAAUCCAUGAAGGCUGCUCGCAGGUGGUGGCAUGGACAAAGCUAUUAGCGUUCCACAUGUGUUCUACAGAUUUGGACCUUCCACAGAUUGAGUUAAUCCAAAUAUACUGGAUUUGUUGUUAAGGAUCGAAUAAAUUGGACGAUAUAUAUAUGUUGGAUUAAAUAGAGUUUGACUAAGACUCAUCUAGUCAACGAUGACUACAAAUAAAAGCAUCCUUUCUCAUGUGCAUAACAUAUAACAUGUGGACAUGGAAAGAGUCAACCUUGUUCGUUCCGAGUCACGCGUCACGACUUUCAACGCGACUUCGCUUCAGAAAACGGCUUGUUUCUAAUCCUGUAUGCGUGCCACCUCCUCAUGCGGCGGUAACGUCAGUCGUUACUGAGACGACUCGCGAAGCUUCGUAUAUAUUUUAGGGCUUGCUUGUAGUUUUAUUUCGUCGUCUCGGCUCUUCUCUCUCCCGUCCUUGGUCGCCAAAGAGAGACAGGGUUCGGAGUCUUCGAUUCCCCUUCCGUCGAACCCCGACUACUACUGUACGGGAAAUCGGCUGCGGGGUGGUCAGUGCGUUCUCGAUUUCCUCUCCUCGACGCUGCUUUCUCGGCUUUUAUCAGGUUAUGUGUUUUUCUUGGUUGAUUAUGUUGGCUUGGUGUCGUGAUUUGACGAAUUUGAAACGAUGAAUUCGUCGAGUAGCGGCUGUCCAAAUGGGCAGUGGUUCGGAUCGGUUGUAUGGAGGAUGAACCUCUUGGAUGAUGAAUGAUUGUUUGUCUGCGAAAAUUAAGGUUCAGGAAGUCGCUAGCAUAUAGCUUGAUCUUGUUGACAGCAACUAAAGUUGCAAUCUUUAAGGAGUAAUUACUGUGAGAAGAAAGUGUCGAGAAGUAGCAUGGACCUUGAAUGGUUGAAUAUUUUCCUGGUUGUUGGAUACGUGUUGGUUAGAUAAACCUAUUAGUUCUUUAAUUGCAGAGAAAUGUAGUCCUAUAGAUACCAUGUAAGUAGAUAGUUUUCAGAGGAGAUGGGUUUUGGUAUAUAAGAUAUCAACUCGUAUUUGUUUGUUUUAUCUUCCACUGUAUUGUGGAAUUGGAUGGUGCAGGGAGGCCAGGAUAUCAUUAGAGAAUUGGGAUAUUUGAAAUAUCAGUCUUGGAUAAAAGCUCAUAUUCUUCCAAAUUCAGAUGGGAUUCAUAACUUUUUCUUUUUCUUUUCUUGAUUAGAGCAUGAAAUAUAGUGAAUUAUUUCUAGGUUGGAUGCAAUUUACAAUUUCCCUUCGAGCUGAGGAAAGAUUCUUUGAAGCUGUGGAACUUUCAUAAAUUAUUUUAAGAUAUUUUGUUUAAUGAAAAGUUGGAUGUAUGGCCCAGCAUAGCACAAAAGCAGUAAUUUUCGACCUUUAAGUGGAAGCAUCUUCAAUUAAUUCACUUUUAUCUUUGACGAAUAAAAUCACACCCAAACAUUCUUGUUUGGUGUCCAGUAGCUUGAAGAUAUCUGUACAGCUGCUGACUAAUACACAAAUUAGGAUCAUUUGCUUCCUUGAGGUUCACUAUUGAUGUAGGCCACUUUAGGUUUCUUAGAUGAAUCACCAGAGCUCUAGGAUUUGAUACUGCAAACUUCUUGACAUGGUGUAACUUUAGUAUCAGUAAUUGAAGAAUUUUGUUUAGUUGGGUAAGGAGUACAUGGAUGAAAAAAUUUUAGUUUACUUGGGUUUAUUAUUCAUCAAGAAAGGAGGAUUGAUGAAUUCAUUACCUGGAAAUCCGUUGCUGAUGAUUUUGUUACUUUUUGUUUCUAUAUUUCGGCAGAGGAUUCAAAAUACCCAAAAUUUCUUUUUUUAAGCUUGUUUUUUGUGUAAAAGAUCUCGUAAUUGUCUUGCCGUUCAAUGACAUGUACAGGUCCUUAAAGUAAUCUUCUCCAAAACCGUUGAACAUCAGUAAUGUUGUAGCAAACUAAUGCAUGGCCUUGUGCACCUCGAACCAGAAGGAUUAUGCUGCCAAGCCCCAUCCUUUGUACUUGCAGGACAUUCAAUUUGAUUGCAACUGGGAAGAUGUGACACGCCCAAUCUCUUUGGAUUUCCCUCACAAUGGGGUUCUUCUCUGGUGGUCUUCUUAUGAGAAGGGGAUGUUGGCCUUUCAUGUGUGAUAAAUUGUCUCGAGCAGUUCAAAAGUGCAUAUGGAGCACCUGUCGUUGUAAAAAUCACACCAACUAUAGAUGGGAUAACCAUGGAUGGCAUUCAAGAUAUUCUCCAAACUCCAGCUCCACCAACCUGUCCACUGUGUAGAGGGAAUGUUACUCUGCUGAUCGUUAUUGAUGAGACUUGUGUUUAUCCAAACAUGAAGAAAUGAUGGUGUGAAGAAAAACACUGUUCAUAUAUCAUCAAUUUUUCUGAGCUGUGGAAGCAUGGUCAACUAAAACACCCCUACUCCCACCCUUCAAAAAUACAACCCUGCACGACAACUUGACCAGGAAAAUUUCAGCAGCCCUCACAGAUCAUAGAUGUCUUGAGAACUACACAUGCAGAAGUACCCCAUGGAGUGGCUUUAGGUGAGUACGUCAUCGAACAUGGGGAUGCAGAUGUCAGAGAUGAGCAUGAAGGUUUUCCUCGGAGCAGGGGUAACUGGUGGGACUCCUGCAUAUUCUUUAAGGGAUUGCAUAGGGGUUCAAGAAACUGGCACAGAUCAAGAGAAAGUGGAAGAAGCAGGGUCACUGUUCAAAUUCUGAUGGUUCAAAUCUAGGUAAUGAGUCCACAAAUCUGUAGAUAUAAGAGAAUACAGAUUUGUUGAAACCGAUGACGAGCUUGCGAGAAUAGGUGCUGGUGCAGCAACAUCGGACAGGUAAGAGUGAUCCCUUAUUCUUUUCUUAGAAACUCAGGGGUCUGUAUUUUGCAGAGCAUGAUAUUUCCCCUCUUAGAAUCUGUGAUUUGCUUCUAAGGAGCUUUGCUUUGCUGAUAUUAUCAUGACAUCUCAUUUCUAUGAUCAUUGGCAAACAAGAAACCAUAGUAGCCGGUCUAUCAUCCAGGGGCAUCUUUUCAGCUUCACGGCUUAGUUCUGGCACCUUCAUAGAGUUCGUCAGUUGACAGUUAUAUCUGCGCAUAUUAAUGGAGUAUGGUAUGUAGUGCAUCAUGCAUCCCUUGCUGCAAUCUAAGGAUUCAUCAAUGUAAUUCUUGUCCUUGUGUUAUUCUUCUGUUAUGUUAGUCUUAUAUCAUUAAGACAGUUUUUUUGGGAACUAAAUAUCCAAUUAAUUGAAGGGGAAAUGCAUCAAAUAAAGAAAUAAAAAAUAAAAAAGUGUUAUUAUAUAUAGUUCUUUAUUUUUCUCUUCUUGGAUGAAAUGGCUAAUGAUGUUGGUGCCAGCUCUUAAGUUUUGAAUGAUGGAUUACUCGAUUGAUAAGUCGGAAAGACUAAUCUUUUAUUUGCAGUGUUACGAUGAUUUCAGAACGAAGGGUCGCCUAGGCCUAGGUGAUGGUACUCUGCCAAAGUCUACUCAACCAGGUGGUUUUACGACAGACCGGUAAAAAACAUGUCAACCAUGUCAAUAGAUGUUUGUGGAUUAAUAAAAAUUAAUAUUAUAAUUAAGAUAUUCUAUUUUGUUAUGAUCGAUUUGUAUCGAUCAAUAUUUUUAGUGUGAAUCAUCCUUUUUCGGAUGGUUCAAUUUUUUUUCUUUCUUAAUUAUGAGUUUGAUUUUUUUUUUUUCUUCCCAAAGUCAUGGAUCGCUUCUCCAUUCUUCUCUCAAUCGUUCCUCAUGCUUUAUGCCCACCUCACCCUCCUCCUCAUCCUCAUUGUUUUUUUUCUUUCAACUUCUUCCCUUCCUUCUACCCCUCUUGUCCUACUUGUUUCUCGUGCUUCAUGCUCACCUCCCUCUCCUCUUCCUCAUAUUUAUUGUUUUUCUUUUCUUCUCUUCCUUUUACCCCUCCCUAUCUAUACUUUUUUAUACUAGUAUAGAUCAAAACCUAUAAGUUAAUUCAAAAAUCGACUUUGAUAUGAUUUGAUCAUUCAGCCAUAAACAAAAAACAAAAAAAAAAUGAUUUUGUUAUAUUUUAUUAGAUCUGUGGACAACAUUGAUAUUAUUACCUUUGGGUUGAGAUUGAUAUUAUUACCUUUGGAUCUCAACUUCUAUUUUAUUUCUACCUAUUUUUCAUUCACUGAGGUGGAUGUUUAGUUCUUCCUAUCUAUAAGAAUAGCCUCAAAACCCAGCAAAUGGAGUUGUGUUUAGUUAGAACUCUAUCUAUCUAUAGGAAAUUAAAGGUGCUCACAGAAGUGUCAACACUACACUGUUUGGCUUUGGAGACUCCAUUAAUGAGAAAAGAGAAUUCAAAACAGUCACUGCUAAGCUCCUUGCCUUAGCAAUAAUCUCAAGUAUGAACCACUGGAUGCUCUUGAGAGGACAAGAAAUAAUAAGUGUGGCAAUGAUCUAUAUACUAAUUGGUAUAUCCUGGUUGGUCAGAAGUCCUUUUGAGUGGUGAUUGUGACUUGAAAGAUGAUGAAAAGGAAGAAGGUAAUGUUCGAAUGAUCCAAAAUUAACACCACUUUCAUCAUUCAUAGAUAAAGACCUUUUUAUUAAGAUUGAUUUUAUUAUGAUCUGACAAUCUCUCCCAUGUGCUUCAUGUCAUCGCAUAUUUUUCUUAGCUCGCUCGAUGUCAAUUGUCAUCAACCAGGCUUUCAUCAUAUCCAAUAUUAUUAGAUCGACUCUAAUAUUAAGUUUUGAUGGGAUAAUUGAUUUAUUAAUUUGAUUGAGCUUAGAUCAUCGAUAAAAAUAUUUAAGCUGAAGUUAACAGUAGUACAUCCAUCAGAUCUUUAUAAGUUUAUUUUAGUCUAAUCCUAGACGGGAUUUAACUAGGGUGUUAUAGGUUUACUAAGAUGAUUUGAUUUACUAUGGUGCGAUCAUAAGGAAUGGUAACACAAAUAGUAACAUUGAAAAGAUGGAAGGCUUCUCUCUUUUAUAGAUACACAUUUUUUUUUUUUAUCUUAGGAGAAGAGAAAUCAUAAACACAAAUAAAAAUCACUGUGAAUGAACAAAAUCAGAGUCUUAACAACACACAUUGUGCUUCAUUUAUCAGGAGCUUCCUAGAAAAGAUUUAAAAGACACAAACAAGUUAAGAAGAUCCAAAUAUCUUGGGGGCAAAAGUUUGACCCUGAUUUCAGAUCACAAACAGCGUUUCAAGUUGGGCUACAGAUUUAGGCUGAGAUGUUUUUACUUAGCCAGCACAACAAUUAUCUUGAAAUCAGGAUCUUCUUGCCCUCUAUAUGAGAAAGAAUGUGAUCGAUCACACCAGCAAUAACACAGUGGACGGCAUGAAAACUUGAAGCUUAUUUAAAGAUUUCUCUUCUCGCUCUCUUCUUUUGAAAGAGAGAAAGGGAAAGGGGAGAAUCUUUAAGAUACUUGUGAAUGAAUGUCAUGUUUAGCAUUGCAUUAACUCGAAUGCUUCAACAACUCGAUACAUCGAUCGAACACCCCGCAAGAUUCCUAUAACAUAUAAAGUUCGUAUAAGGUUCUCGAUAAUCCCACAUGUAAAUUAAACAUUCAUUUACUUCUAAUCAUUAUUGAAAAUUAUCAUAAAAGAUCACAUAUUCAUUCUCUCUCUCUCUAGUAGAUAUUGUACUCUUUAUUUUUCUAACCCUCAAAAUCUACUUAUUAAGGAUCAAAAGGAUGAUCUUUAUGUAUGUAGUGCAACAAGUUCUUAAGUUGGCCUCGAACCUCCGACGACAACAAGUCUUAUCACGCAACAGUUGGGGUUAGCAUCCACGAAGAUAGAUCCUUUGGCUUCGUGCAGAUAUCUUCUAGAACAAAAAAGGCCUUGUUCUAGAUCUGCGUGUGUGGUAAAAGACAAUAUCGUUCACGAUGAAGGCGUAGUACCGAUCUCUAUCAGAAUCUGCAUAAUUUGGUGCAGCGUUCAGCCUCUUUUUGGCUACCAAUUUGGUCCUGCAAAUACGAGAUGUGUGUUCAUACAAAAAGAUGAUAUUAUGGGAUGAAGAAUAGAAAAUCCCGAAAACAAUCUGAUCCAAAGAACCACUCCAUACAUGUUUAUGGAGAACCUAAUGUACACAUAGCACGAUAUUCUCAUGCUUCUUGAUACAAACAGCUUAAACAUCAAAUUCCACACCAUAGCACAAGCCAAGCAAGCAGAUAGUACAAGCACCACCAAACCUUUUUGUCUGCUAAUGAGAGAACACCAGCUGCGGCGUAGAACCACACCUGAAUCCACGAGCAUGACAUAGGUGUCUCGUGUACCCGUGCGUGUAUGUGUGGACGGGUCAUGCAUCGCGCACCUCAAACACGUUCCGGCACUUGACGACGAUGUCGUACAUGUGCACGGACGUGAACCUGGAGAAGUCUCUCGGCACCGAGAUGAGGUGCACCGACGAGCGCUUGUGGAACUGGACAAGAUCCGGGGUGCUGGGGUACAGCUCCCACCCGAGCUCCGCGAGCUUGGUCGCCAGCAUCUCAUUGGAUGUGAUCACCUCGUUGGUGGGAAGGUAGACCAGGAUCUUCCGCCGCCGACUGCCGAUCGAGUCGCCGCCGCCUGGGUUCUCUCGCCGCACGACGCCGUUCUUGAACACCCACACCCCUGACAUGUCUUGCUGCUGUACGAUCAGAAUCGGAGAGGGAUGAGGGGGGUGUGGGAAGCGGAUGAGGGAGUCGAGGGGAGAGGAGGUGCGGGUUUUAUAUGCACUGGACAAGGUUAGAGAGAGAGAGAGAGAGAGAAUGGCUAAGGUGGGACCCGCCAAGGGGAGAUAUGGAGGACCGUGUGGGACCGACGGAGCUUUGAUGAACAGCUACUUCCCUGGCCACUGGGAUCAGCGGUGAUUAGAGUCUCUCGGCACACAGUCCACGGGGAACUGCUACUUGCCGGUGUUGUGCAAAUUAUUGGAGGGGGGGGCCAAAUGGACUUGAAAACAGAUAUCUUUAGAUCCUUAGGGUUUUGUACUACAUAUCCUGAGGAACAAACAUGCUUUGUGGUGCAGUGAGUGGGGAGACGUCGGCUUUCUCAAAAGCUGUCACUCAGCUUUUCAUGAAUGAUGUACGUGAGCAGGAUAAAAUGAUGGACCAGUUGCACUGACAUGCAGCAGCAGCAGCAGCAGCAGCUUAUCACGAGCCACGCAGGUGGAAGAAAGAGAGAGGUCGACCACGCUCGCAUUGACCCCCUUCUCCACUCUUGCCAUGGCCGGGACUAUGUUAUGUGAGGCCGCAUACCCCCCCCACAGUUUGAUCGAAUGCAAUUUGAUCGUUCUGAAUGAGAUUCUACUAGGGCUUGACUUUUGAGUCACAAAGGAGCUGAUCCAGUUGAGGGAGAGAAGCAACAGGUCAAGAUGCAGUAGUCCAAUCCUUGAGCUGACCACUGACAUCACCGGCGAGCGCCAUCCCGUACGGAACCAUGAGCGAAAAUACAUGCAGCUUUAUGUUUGCCGGAAACAGAGAAAGAGGUAUGUAUGACACCGAAUACUCGGAGAAAUCAUGAGGCCUCGCACUACUCCCACCGUUGAUAACCCUGUUGAAUCAACAUGCAGAAGCUGAGGGAUGCAAAACUCAUGCUGAGGACAGCAGAACUGGAGCAGCGACUGCCACUGCCACCACUUGCUUUUUCCUCAAAGGUGGACCGCCACAAAUGGUGGUGGAGACGGUUCGGGCCAUGUGUGCCAGUCUCCAUACGAAGCAGUACACUGAUACAGAAAGCAGAUAUCACUUGUUCUUUCUUCUUUAAGCAGGCAGGAUUAUUCCAGCAACGAUGGCUCCAUCAGCUGUGGGGCUGCUGGAGGAGGAGCUAUAGAUCUAUGACCAUAUCUAUUCGUUGGACUGUCGCAAGGAAAGGCCCCAUCUUGCACGUGAGCCCAAAUGUCUCUUCUUGGUGUUUGGUGUUCUCCGAAUCGAGGACCACAGCUUCCGUAGGUGGUGUUUGAUCCAAAGUUUUCUUUCAUUUGACCGUGAGAGGUUGCAAGUUGCCCUUCUUCCUGAGCUGGGAUGAUCAGCUCUAGAGCUAGAAAAGUUCUUUGGAAAGGAAGGAGGACAAUCUACAAAUUCCCUACGAAGAAGGAGGUCCCCAGAAAAGAUGUCGAAAGAGGAGGAGGAGGAAAACAAAGGAUGAUGUGAUCAUGACGUAGAUCCAGUAAGGGCAACAGGGGAUUCAAGGAAGUUCUAAAUGUAGUAAAUAACUAAGAAGAUGGAUUACAUGUCGGCAUCUCCCUCAACGAGAUUUAUUAUGUCGGCUGGCGUCUGGAUAAUGAGACGACAUGUAUGCAUGCGAGCUUCCUCUCUUCCUGGUUCUUCCGCUCCGAACCAUGCGGUGUUGGUUCGGCUGGCUUCUCAAUCGCGAUAGGUAGGAUCAAGUGGCUCGUCUCGGAAUCUGUGCCCUGGAAUCUGCCUGCAGCAUUUUAUCUUGCAGAUGAAGCGUGAGGAGACUGCGACUGUGAGCACGAGUGGUGGUUGUUCUUUAAUGGCGCACCACAUCCCUCUCCGAUGGACCACUUCCUCUGCUCAUCAUCUUCCUGACACAAAUGGCUCUCCUCGCUCCCUCCCUCCCUCCUCCUCCUCCUCCUCCUCCUCCUCUCUCUCUCUCUCUCUCUCUGUGCACGUGAACAAUCAGGGUAGAACACUGGAUUUGGUCCCACCUGGACACCGUCUUCCACAAUGCUCUUCUCCAAAGUCUUCAUUUCACUUGAGAUCGUCAUGUGAUUGAUUUGCUCUGGUUUUAGGGUUCCACGACGCACCUGUGGAACCCAUUGGAUCGUGAUAUUGCGGCCACUAAGCUCCGGCAUCCGAUUGACUCUUCCAUGAAUCCACUUUUUGCGGGUCUAGCUCAGUCACCGGCUGCCGUGUCACCGUCGGAUAGCCGACUGUGACAAGACCGAUUUGGCAGCGUAGCCUUUGGUUCCAACCAUCACUGGAAUCGAUGCCCUGACAACCACACCUCCAUCAUUUCGAGCUUGGACAUUAUUGUCUCAUGUCACAGCGGAAGCCAUUUAGGAUGAUAUCUCAAGUUGUCAUCCGAGAGUUGCUUGAAUUUGAGAUAGCAAAAACAAGAAAGGCUUGUCAAUUAAAAUCUAAGAAAAAGGAGAUUAAACAUCUAAAACUCUUGCUGUUUCUCGUAAGAAUUCUUCGAAGAAUAAAUCUCAUAUAUCUCAUGUCAUAAGCGAUAAAAUUAAUCUAAAUUAUUAGAAUUAGAUAGAUAAAAUAAAAGAUAAUUUUUUUGAUUUUUUUAUGAAGGAAAAAACAGUUAGAUCAUAUCUUUGUCAGGGAUACGGUCAAAAUCAAACUAUUCAUUUAUAAGACCAUAAAUAUAUGUUCUUGGAUAAGUCUAAAGCAUUAUAUAUUAGAUUAGAAAUACUAUUCUUUUUUUUUUACCUUCUUCGUUUCCUUCUUGAAAUUCUAUAAGAAGUCAACUAAUAUAAGGAUUAUGAAAUUUGGUAGAAAAUAAUUUUGCUGAGUAUGAUAUGCAAGAUCCAAAUAUUGCUGAAGAUCAAUAAGAUUAAAUAAAUGAGAACAUGCAAAAAGAUGCAAGAGUUUUCUACAUGCUAUAACAAGCAACAAAUGAAUCUUUAUUUUUCUAAAUCAUGUGAGCAUCAAAAUCAAAAGCGUAAAAAAUAUUAAAAAGUGUGUUACAAGAUACAGACAAAAUAAAAACUUUAAAGAAUGAUAUUUUUCCAUAUGAAUUUAAAUCUCUUAUGAUGAACAAUUCUAAAUCUAUCACUCAUUAUUUCUUAAAAAUCUCUUUUGUUAUGAACUAAAUAAGGUCUUACAGUAAAAACUCAAAAGAUCAAACAGUAGUAAAAUAAGUUUUACGAAAUUUAUCUUUAAAAUAUGAUGUCUUUUACUGUUAUAGAAAAAGCUAAAGAUACAAGUACAUUAUCUAUUAAUGAAUUAACAGAUUCAUUUUUAGUUUAUGAAUAAAAAUGAAUAUAUCUUUAGAUGAAACUUAAUAACAUACUUUUCAAAUAAAGAUAGAUCAAAAGAAUGAUAAAAAAAUUCAAAAAACUAAAUCUCAAGGGAGAGAUUAGAAUGAUAGAGGGGAGAGAUUAGAAUGAUAGAGGUCGGGAAUGACUUAGCACCUAGGACAAGGGAUAAGUUCGAUCAAAUAAGAGUCAAGGGAACUUGAAUGAACAUAACAAAGAAACUUAUUAAUGCUUUUACUACAAAGCAAAUGGACGUAUUGAAAAAAAUUACUUGUAUAAAAAAUAAAAAUCUAAAUGUUCAUCUUUGCUCCCAUUAUAAAAAAUAUGACUAUUUUGAAAAAUUAUUGGAAUAAAAAUAAAAAUAAUCGUAUGACAAUAGAUAAAAGUUUAUUUUAAAUGCUUAAUGGUUCGAUCAUAUUUAUAGGAUAUAUGAGAAAUAAUAGUAAGGUUCAAGUGGAAAAAAAAGGAAUAGUUAUUGUGAACAUUAAAUUUGGUAUAAAAUUUAUUGAUAAUGUGAUAUGUAUUAUUGGUUUAAAAUAAAAUCUCAUUAUGAUGAGAAAAGGAUAUUAUACUACUUUUGAUGAUGAAAAUAUUUAAUUUAUGAAAAAAAACUAAAAAAUUGAUAACAACUAUGAGGAUUAUAAAAAAUAAAAUAUUGUUUUUAUAUUUUUCCUUACAUGCAAUCACUGCUAUUAUUAUUAACGAAUCGACAUUAUAGGAUAAAAGAUAUGCACAUUUGAAUUAUGGUAUAUUAAAAUUAUUAAAUUAGAAGAAUAUGAUAUUUGAUUUGCCUAGAAUUAAGAAUAAAGAUACUGUUUAUAAAUCUUAUAUUAUAAAAAAUAAUAUAAAAAUUCUUUUCAGAUAGAUCAUUCUUGGAGAGUUAAGGAACAAUUAGAACCUGAUAUUUGUGGGCCUAUGUAGACUAUAUCAUAUAAUGGAAGUAAAUAUUUUUUAUUAUUUAUAGAUGAUUGCAUAAGGAUGAUAUGAGUAUAUUUUCUUAAAAAAAGCUAAAAUCUUCUUAUUUUCAAAAUUUUUAAAUCAUAUGUAAAAAAUAAAAUAAUUAUUUUAUUAAAAUUCUACAUACUGAUCGAGGGGGUGAAUUCACUUUUAAAGAUUUUUUUUAUAUUUUUACAAGAAUGCAUGCAUUUACAAGGAACUAAGUACAAGUUGGACCCCCUAGCAAAAUAGAAUAGUAGAGCAAAAGAACUGAGUUGUGAUCGAGAUUACUAGAUGUAUGCUUAGAGAAAAAUCAAUACCAAAAGAGUUUUGGGAAAAAGUUGUGAGUACAAUAGUAUAUUUGUUAAACUAUUUUCUACCAAAGUAAUAUAAAGAAAAAUAUAUUAUGAAGCAUGGUUAGAUAGAAAAUCACAUGUGAGUCACUUAUACAUAUUUGGUUAUAUUGGUUACUUUCAUGUUUCUAUAAAAAGAAAAAAGAAAAGUUGAUGAUAAUAGUAUUAAAUUCAUAUUUGUAGCGUAUUGUAAUGAAACAAAAAGUUUUAGACUUUUUAAUCAUACAAUUAAGAAAUUGAUCAUAAUAAUUUUUUAUUAAUGAAGAAGAAGGUUGAAACUCUAAAACAAUUGAAAUUUCAAUAGUUGUAGGAGAAGUAAGGCACAUGAUGCAUUGUCUAUUAUUAAUACAUUGCCUGAAUCUUAUAUUUUGAAUGAUUCAAAUUCAAUUGAUUGUAGUGAUAUUGAAAUAUUUUUAAAGAAAUUUUGUAGUUUCAUAGAUAUAUUGAUCUAGUGAUUUUGCAUGUAUUGCUUUAGAACCUACUAAGUUUUGAAGUUGCAGAAGGAAGAAUGAUACAAAUAAUGAAUAACAAAUUAUAAGCUAUUGAAACAAAUAAGCCUUGAACGAUUAGUAAAUUUGCCCUCAAGAAAAAAAGUAAUUGGACUCAAGUGGGUGUAGAAUUCAAAAUUUAAUACCGAUGACUUGUUGCAAAAACAUAAAGCACAUAUAGUCGUCAAAGAGUAUACCCAAAUUCUAUGCAUCAAUUUUUCAAAAACCUUUUUUAUUUAGUUACUAGAAUUGAUAUACUAUAUUAGCAUUGGUAGCCCAACAAAAAAUGAUAGGUUUAUCAACUCGAUGUUAAAUCAAUCUUCUUAAAUGAAAAAUUGGAGAGGAAGUUUAUAAAAAGCAACAUGAAGGAUUUAAAAUUUAAGGAUAAAAAGAUAAAAUAUAUAAAUUGGAUAAGGUAUUAUAAGAUUUGAAACAAGUAUCGAGGGCAUAGUACAAUAGAAUUAACAAGUGUUUUCUUCAAUAUAAUUUUCAAAGAAGUUAAAGUGAGCCAACUUUAUAUAUAAAAUCCAAAGUAUGAAAAUUUUUAUUAUUUGUUUGUAUGUUGAUGAUAUGAUUUAUACUGAAAAUUCAUCGGAUAUGCUUAUUAAAUUUAAGAAAAAAAUGAUAUGGGAAUUUUCAAUGACUAAUUUGAAACUUUUAUAUUAUUUUCUAAAAUAAAAAUUAUUAAGGAUGCAAAUAAAUUAUUUUUUAUGUAAAAAAUUCUAAAUAUUUAUUUCAAAUACUUCAAAUGAUAGCUUGUAAGCCAAUGAAUACUCCAAUAAAUAUAAAUAGUAAACCUAUGUUAGAUGAUGUAGUUGAAAAAAAAAAAGAUGAGAAACAAUAUAGAAGUUUAAUUAGAGAGUUAAUUUAUCUCAUAUAUUCAAGGUCAAAAAUUAUAUUUAUAGUUAGUUUAUUGUCUAGAUUCAUACAUACUCCUAGCAAGUAUCACUUUGGAGCAGCUGAAAGAGUUCUUAGAUGCAUCAAGAAAACUCUCAAUUAUGGUAUUCGUUGUGAGCAAGUAAAAGAUUUUAGUUAUAUUCUUAUACUUAUAGUGAUCAGGCUAGUUAUGUAUAUGAUAGAAAAAAUACUUUAUGAUUUGUGCUUAGCCUUAGUUUAAGGGUGAUUUCAUGGAUAAAAAAAAAAGUGUUGCUUUCUCAAAAAUCUAAGGCGUAGUAUAUUGCGGCUACAAGUACGAUAUGUCAAAUAAUUUGGUUUUGAAGAAUUUUAGUACAUCUAAAAGAAAAAAGUAAAAUGAACCAACUAACAACUACUGCAACAACAAGUCUACUAUUAUAAUGAUGAAGAAUCCUAUCGUCCAUGAGUACACCAAAUAUAUUGAAGCUCAAUAUCACUUCAUUUGUGAAUUGAUUGGUAAGGAAGAAAUUCAAAUGGACCACUGGACCACCAAAGAUUAACUUAUUAACAGCUUUACAAAAGCUUUAGCAAAAGAAAUUUUUUAUUUUUUUCAAAAAUAACUUCAAGUUAUAACUAUUUUGAAUCAGGGUGUGAUAAAAUUAAUUCAAAUAAUUAGGAUUAAAUACAAUAAAUAAGGAUUUAGAUUAAGAUAAAUAAAUAAGUGAUUAAUUUUUUAAUGCAUGGAUGAUGACGAGGAGGUUUGUUGGGCUAUGGGAGACUUCUUUCUUUUUUUUUUUAAUUUAUAAUUUAUCAUUUUGAUACUAUAAAUAUGUGUUUUAGAUAAGUUCAAAACACUCUAAUUUGAAAGUAUUCUUCAUUUCUUGUUUGUUAUCUUCUUCUUUUUCUUCACCGAGUUCUAAAUAAACCAAGAAUAAAUAGUUUGCAUUCUCUUUCUUCAAGAAGUUCUGAAUAAACCAAGCAUAAAUAGUUUGUAGUUUGCAUGAUUGAAGUAGUCAUGAGUCACAAUUCAAGUAACUGGCAAGGCAACGGGAUACCAAGAUCUGGCAGAACUCUGCUCAUUCCUACUCGGCAUCUUCCAAGUCUCUUCAUCUUCUGUAAGCCCACGAGGUAGAUAAACGGAACAUGAUCGAGUAGGAAUAAGAUUACUGUAAGCAAAGCAAAGCAUAUCCUUCAAAUGCCGAAGAAUCUGCGUCUUCUGAACAAGACACUUUUGCUCCUCCCCCCUUCUGUUCUAUCCACGUCGUUUUUGCCUUGCCGAACCUAAUUCAACAGAAGAACAUAUGCGACUUCACAUAAAGGCCAAGUGUCUUGUAGUACUUCCCUGUGAACAGAUACCUUGAUGUGGUCCACUAGUUGAUAUCUGCCAGAGCAAGAACAAACACUGUAUCAACUAAGCCAUGGCAAAAAGCUCAGCUAAAACUGCGGAUAAAGAUGACGUCUUCAUAUUUGAAUCCGCCAUCUUCGAUAUGAGAGGCUUGAGAUGUGACCGUGGCCUUGAUGAAUGCCACCGAGUUCCCAAGAGUGGCAGUACGGGUGAUGAUCUCCUGUGAGAUUACACAGCAUGCUGAGCCAGUGCAUAUAAAAGCUCCCCCACAGGGACGCUCGAGAGCGAGCUCACUGCAUUGCAUCGAAGUUUCUUUAUCUUCACAAGAAGUGAAAUCUUGUAAUUGCCGAUCACAUCCGCGAUGGUUGGUUUGCCAUGAAGGUGGCGGACCGAGUCCAUCCACAUGUUUCUGCAUGAACAGCGACGAGCACAUCCAAGUGGAUAGAAUGGCUGCCGAGCCAACCGGAGGGAAGAGUUGGAUACGCACAGCAACGCGUGCGGACGGGGAGAGAUUGCGGCACGUGAAGUGGAGCCCACCACGCCACGUGGUUGACACAUCAGCAGCUCAUCUAAUUAUUCUGUGCAUCAAAAGGUGAAGGGGAAAGCCGAUCACGUCCAAGAAGAAGGAGCUCCACACAAAUCUUGAAGGUGGCCAACGAGACCACUAGAACAACUUCGGCCUGGGGGGAGUAAUGGAGGAGUUGUUUAGGUGAUUUCUGCUCCAUUGAGCUAUCAUUGAAAGAGGCAACAACAGGUCAGCUCUGAAAGGCAAGCAUCUAUUUGGAGGACUACAAGACAUUGUGAUUGACCGUAGAACAAACAGUGCCAUAACAAGUAGGUCUAGUAACCUAGAUUAGUUCUUGACUCCAACACAAGAUAGAACAGGUCAUCACGAGUAUUGUGUUAGAGAAAUUCUCGAUCAUGAGAGCAUUGAUCUCAUGAUUGAGAUCAAUCAUGCUUGAUAUAUCCUCAGUAAAGUUUGUAAUCCCAGCUAAACGGAUGAAUAGAGCUCAUAAAAAAUAAUAGGUAAUGAAUGCUUGAUGAUUCUUGUGAGACUUGGAAUUGACUUGUCGCUAGCAGUUUUACCUGCUCUAUAAACAAAUGAAUAGAUGGAACACCUUUGGAGAAAGUCCACAAAGUCAAAAGGUUGACAACAAACCCCCUUCUUGGGUGUCUCCCUGCUAUCUACAGGAAAAACUAAGAGAAGGAAAUUGAGAGAGGUGGGACAACUGGAGAUGUCACUUGAUGGAAGGAGUCCUUUGAUGACCUUAGUAGGUGUCUGACAAAAUUACAUGGUGCUUCAAGAUCAAGGAAUGACUGGUUUGGGUCAAAGGAGAAGUGCUUCUAUCACUUCUAGCUAGUUUCAUUCCUUGGCAUCUUUGUUGCUUCUUCUCGAAGAGGAUGGUGUAGUGAUGUAUUAAGAUCUCAUUUGCUUCUUCUUUUCUGGAGGAAAUAUGCCCUCUACCACCUCUUUUGAACUCUUCAAAUCUUUGUUCCUUCAAAGGAAAUAUGUUCCUUCAAAGAUACAAAAUUUAAAAUGGUCAUAGGUGCCAAUGUUUCAUAGAUCAACAAGCAAAUAAGACAUCAACUCAAAACCUUCUUAAGAUCGCUUGAAUUAGAAGAUCUUAAAGAGUUAAAAUAUAUUUAGAUAAUCAGAUAUAUAGAGGUGAACAGAAUUAUAUCAUAUUCAUACAUGUAUAUGGAACAUCUCAAACAUCACACUCUGAUAUGGAGAAUAUACAUUCAUGUUCAAUUUCAUUUGGAUUCAAAUGAUAUUGUUUGAUCCACUUUCACCCCUAUUCAUAAAAAGAAGGGACUAUAUCAACACUCUUCGAUUUUUGGAAAUAAUAAGAGCUUCUAAUCAAUGGCCAACAUUACAAUGAUGUCAAGUAUUUGAUGAACAAUAUGUAUUUGAAAUGUUGCUCAAAGUACCCCCUCUUUAGGAGACUUUUCCAUAGACAUAUAGUGGUGGAAGUUUCUACUUUGUAGGGUUGUAGGAAAUCAAACACCAUAACAUUCCGGAUACUAAAAUCCAAUUGCAUUCAUCAAAGCUACAAUUAAGCCCCCCAAUGCCCCUAUUUCCCCUCCCCCAUUGGUAUCCCUUGUGCUUAUCUCUUUGAGGCUCCUUCCUUGUAUCAAGAAUGGUCUCGUUGCUGAUGCCAAGACACCCCCCCAUGAGAUUCCAAAGUUGCAGGCAAAGCCAAGGGGAAGGCUACCCACAGCUCCUUCUUUCCCAUUGAUUGAUUAUUUCUUAGUCUUCAUGCUUUAUAUAAUUAAUUAUAUCACAAUGACACUCCUUUUGGGGUCUAUUCCUAUCUUUUAAAAGGUGGCAGUGCCGUGUCCAGGACCCUUCCUUAACACCAAGGUCAAAUGCAAGAGUUUCUUCUUUCAAGUAGAAAGUUUUCCUUUUCUCCUUAAAUUAAUGAGAGUUCCCCAUCCACUUGUCCAACAAAGAUAGGGCAUGUUCUUUAAGUAGACUUUCCCUCUACCCUAAGGUAUUUGUUUUCCUCUGAGGAAAAAAAGAUAAUAUACAUACAUACAUAGACAUUUGAUUGUGCAAAAGUAGCAAUGAUGGACUAAGUUUGGGGUUAGUUUCCUAACAGUGGUUGAGACACAAGUAGGACAUUGAAUGGCUGGAUUAUUGGCUAAUCUUCUUGGUGUUUGUUUUAGGGUUGCUGGGAUUCAUUGUGAAUUGGGACAAAUCUUUGUUGACUUCAAUUAGAUCAAAUAGUAUAAAAAGGUAAAGUUGAUUAGUGGAUAGAACAAUUAGUGAUAGGUUGUCAUAUGUGACACACAUGUAAAAGUUUGAGCUUAGAAUGAGUGGUGAUGAUGCAAUUGUCUUGUGUGUCACUAUAUUUUCCACAAGGUUUUAAUCCUUUGACAAUUCUAUGGCACCAAACUAAUCAAACUAAGAUUAUCUCAAAGAGGCUUUCAUAACACAAAUCAUUUGUGAAUCAAAUUACUCAUCCCACAACCCAUUAAUGGCUUUGUAACCAUCAGAUUCAAGAGGUAAACCUAAUGGGAAAUACAUGAGAUAUUGUAUUCAUGGCUUUUGUGAUAUGACAUUAGGUAUAAUAGCAUAUACUUGUUAUAAUUGUUGAAGUCCUACUGGAAAGCAAACCAACGCACAGUGGACUUUGUCCAUGUCAUGAGAUCUGCAACUUCGAACUUAUUAAUUUGUGAUGCUUGCAAUGAACCCUAGGUGCAUACCACCAGCAUUGUCCUGCCCGGUAAGCAUCACAUCACAUCACAUCAUCCUUCUUUCUCUCUGGGUUUCUUUCUAUAAAGCUUGGCCUCACCUUCUUUGGUUGUUCUUCACUCGAGGCUGAGACAUCAAAAUUCUCUUUGGGUUGCUAAAUAGAGAGAGGGAGAGAGAGAGAGAUGGGAAGAGCUCCAUGCUGUGACAAGACAAACGUGAAGAAGGGACCAUGGUCUCCCGAGGAGGACGCAAAGCUAAAGGAUUACAUUGAAGAGCAUGGAACGGGUGGCAAUUGGAUUGCCCUGCCUAAUAAGAUUGGUAAGUAAUACCCAAAACCCUUAUUAUCUUGGCUUUUUUCUUUGGAUAAAGCUUCUUCUCUAAGGACAAAAAAGUAGUAUUAGUAGAUAUAUAGAUCGAUCCGUGUGGAGAGAAAAUGGUUAGCCAGUCCCAACUAAAGAACUUUAUUUCCUUGGAAUAGAAGAUAGCUCAUCCUAAAUUCUUAGAAAGAACAAACUGUUAGAUCAGGGAUGAUGAAAGAGGGUGAGAAGGGAAAGUUGCUAUGGUCUUUGCUUCCUAUUUAAGGUGUGUUCAUCUUGAUGUUGUAACUUUUCACCCAAGAAACAAAUCACAGUUAAGAAUACAUAGAGGAAGUCUAAUCAUAGCUGUGUUCUAAAUUCUUCUUCUUUCCUUUCUCUGCACUAAUUUUGAGGUGAUGUGAUAGAGAAUUAUGACAAGAAACAAACCCUUCUUUUUUUGUCAGUCCAUCCAACUAGUGAUUAUAUGUGUGAAUUUUGAUGAUUGUUUGAAGGGUUGAAGAGGUGUGGCAAAAGCUGCAGGCUGAGAUGGCUAAAUUAUCUGAGACCAAACAUCAAACAUGGUGGCUUUACAGAAGAGGAAGAUCAAACUAUCUGCAGGCUCUACAUAAGUAUAGGGAGCAGGUAAAUCAUACAACUGCAACCCCGCCUUCUCUCCCCCCAAUCUCUCUCUUCCUUCCAUGAUAACCCUCCACUUUCAUGCAUUAGGUGGUCAAUAAUUGCAGCCCAGCUGCCAGGAAGAACAGAUAAUGAUAUCAAGAAUUACUGGAACACAAGGCUGAAGAAGAAACUACUCGGCAAGCAAAGAGAACCGAAUCGAUCGCGAAGCCUCCACCUUAACCAUGUUCCUGGCGACGCAGCUGAUAGGUUGAAGCACGAAGCACCUUCCCAAACCCUAAGCGCAUCAGCCCUCGAGAGAAUGCAACUCCACAUGCAGCUCCAAGGCCUCCACAAUCCCUUCUCCUUCUACAACCACCCUGAACUCUGGCCCAAGUACUAUCAUCCACUAGGAGAUAAGAUCUUCCAAAGCCAAACCACAGAUGCUACUGCUACAACCCCUGUGCAACAAGCUCCUGAUGUAUCAAAGCUGAUGAGUACAAACAUACAAGAAACGGACUGCUUACCGUUAGGGUUUCGCUCACCCUCGAGCGGAGGUACUCUCAGCAUGGAAACUUCGAGCUCCAACUUGGAUUCUGCAACUGCAGGUGUUCGAGCUGACCUCCAUGACCUGCUCUACUGCAAGAACUCCUCCACUGUAGGGCAUGAAGAGCAUCAACUUGUUGACUUAGACUGUUACAAAGAAAUAUAUGGUGAAACGGAGAGUACAAAUUGGUGGCCUACUGAAGGUUUCAUGGAUCAAACAGCAACAGUGUCUUGGGAUUCAGCCUCAGCUCUCCAUUCCGAGUUCAUGUGGCAAGAGAAUGGGCUACGGUUUGGUCUGUAGGAAGGCAAUUAAAUGAAGUUGUUGAGAAUUUAGACCUGAGCAUAUGUGCUUCCACAUGUCUAAGAACACUCAGUGUAAAGUUGUCAAUAAUACUGUAAUGCUCUUCUUCCUCGGCUUACAUUCAACUUCAUCAGUUCAUCAGCUUGAUUCUUCUGAUGUCUUUCUUCUUUUCUGCCUUUGGAGUUCAUAUUGCACCUAACGUAGGAUAUACUAUCUAUGUACACCAGUUGAAAGCAAAACUUGGAUACAUACACCUCCUCCAUCUUUAGAUUAAUGAAGUGCAAUAAACCCCUGCAUAUCUCUAUUGAAAGCACAUCUCACAGACCGAGAUAAAUAAAUAAAUAUAUAAUAUUAUAUGUACGGGUUAAUUUGGGCCCACAAAGAAUUGGGCUAAUUUAACACUGAGUUGGGCCUAAACGGCCUAUAGAACAAUAAGAGUAGUAUUGUUGCUUACAUUGCUCCGCGGAGUACGUGACGCUGUAUCGGUAGCCUAGCCUAUAAAUAGGCAACUGCCGUUCUUUCCGAGGGCCGACGCCUUCUUUCCACCGAGGGAUGUUACAGCUAGGGUUCUUUGCCGUCGACGACGAAAGCAACGGCCGAUAAUGUCCCCGGCGGCUCCAACACAACAGCCGAUAAUGUCCCCUCCUCCACGCUGUCGCAAUCCAUCGGGAAAUCGUCGUGGAUGAUUGAAGGCGCCGUAUUCUAUGAUUUCGCAGCAUUCUUGAAAUCUUCUUGUUGAGUCCUUGCAAUCAAUUUGAUCUUUAUCUUUUGGUUGUGAGGCGCAAAGAGCUCUGAUAACUGGUUAUGAGGUAAAAUCGCUCUCUCUCUCCCUUUAAGGAAAGUUCUUGAAGUGAAGUUUGAUGAUUGAUAGUGUGAUCAAAUUAAAGUUUCUUUUAGGUUAUCCUCAACGACCAUUAUGGUCGAUUAUUUGACGGGAGAAGGUGAGCCGCAUUAGUGCAUCUUUUGUAGUAGAUAAGGAUUGUGGUUGAGCAAAGCAAAGGAUAACUUUAGGGUUUGUUGCUAAUGCACAAUUAUGCUAGUUUUCUCGUCUGUCGUCAGCAAAUCUCGGCCACCGUAUUAAGCCAUGAUAUCAAGUUGUUCCGAAAGAUUUAAUACUGGAGGUUGUCCAGCUAAUGCUGGUUCAUGUUGAUUCUGCUGUUUGUGUCUUGCCAUGAGCCUUUGCAUGACAUGCUCAUCUAAAAAUUCUCUGUUCCAGGGUAUGUUGGUUGAAUUGACCUGCACAUAAGUGUCCUUGCAUGGUUGACACAACUAAUCUUCAUAAGCUAUAUCAUAUGUACUUGUGUUUUUAAUCUAUCUUACACUAGCUUGAAUGCUCUCUUAAAAUGACAGCAAGUGACACAGCUUUUGACAGGUUUUAUAUUACAAAUUAGAAUGAGAGAGGCAGAGUGUGAAGUCCGUCUACAUUCCAUUAGUAUCAAGAAUUAGUGUCUUUAGCUUAUUGUUAUAAUAAGGUAUUAAGAUGUAGUUGCAGAACAUCAGCCAAAACCUAACAAAAAAUAAACUCAUCUUUCCUUGGUGAACUCUGUUUCUCAAUUCAGGGCUUUCAGUGAUUGAGAUCUCAUCUCAACGGCUCUUUAGCUGUACCAUCAUCUAUCAUGGGCUCACCAGAGGAACAAGCAGUACACUGCAGUGGAUGAAUCUAUCCCCUAGUCACCCAACAAAGGAGAGCUAUAUGAGAUAAGUCAUUUAUGUUUCGUUCUCUCCUGUUCUACUUAUGUCUUCUGUCUCUUUUUUAUCUGAGGUGAAGUUUCUUCUCUAGAUGGAUGCAAAUUCAUGAUGAAUACAUGACAGAUGCAAAUUCAUCAUAGAUUUUAGGUAGGUAUAGAUAUAAAUAUCAUACAGAAUUAGGAUGGUAUGACACAAAUGAUUAAAAUACUAAUGUGAAUCUCUUAUCUUAUUCUUGUUAAACCAAAUUAUUCAUGCAACUUGAUCCAGCUUGACAAAUAUGAGGUAUUUAUUAUGUUAUGUUGCUUUAGGAUUGAGACAGAUCAAAUAUAAGGUUGGGGUUAAAUCAGUGUUGGCCUACCACCCCAUCCAGCCUACUCGCAAUUUAACUGCUACCACCACCAUUGAUUGAUGCGAUUCCUUUUUCUGCCCUUUAAUGAAAGGGAGACAUGGCUAGAUCCUCUGAUUUCGGCCAACAAGUUUGACUCUUCCCCAACUUGUUCUGCAGACCCAACAAAGUUGUUCAAAUAUAUCUCUCUGUGUAGAUUUUGACUGUUUGAUAUGUUAAAAAUUCAAAAUCAAUCUUAGUACUUUUGAGAAUCCGUCACAAGCUUAUAUUAGAGAGUUGAUUGGAUUCGGUGACGGAUCCUACAAGAACUAGGUGAGGAACAUACUUGACAAAAACCCCUUUCAUGUUUAAUUUAGGAACUUGGGAAAGAGUGAUAUAGAAUAUAGAGGAUUCAAAAGAUAGUCCCUAGAGUUAACAUAUCUGAGAUAUUUUAUAGGGACUUUCAGUAUUUGUCACGAUUAAAAUGAGGAGUUAAAUCCAUAAGACGAUUUCGUAGGAUUGUUGAGCUUUACUUAGACUUGAAGAGUCACUUAAACCAUAAGAGUGUAUUAAAUCUCUUAUAUCAUCUAUCUCAUUGUCACUGUGUGAAAGAUGUCGGAACUUAAUGUCAUAUUCGACUUGGGAAUUGAUCACAUCAUAAGUGGUGGGUGAUUGGGAAAUCAAGGUUAAUUUAUAGUCUCACUUGACCAUCAUGAAGACAAAGAAUGUUGAGAUUCAUAGUCGAAUUUUAUCACAUCUUAGACAAAUGACACUUCAUGACCAUAUUCAGUCACAUCGAAGACAAAGGAUGUUUCAUGGUUGAGGUCUAUCCCAUGAUUCAGACAAGUGAUGUUAAUGCUUUGUGGUUAGAUUUAAUUGAAUCGGAGAUAAAUGAUAUUUUGUAGAUAAAUUUGAUCAUACCGAAGGUUAAGGAGAUAAAGGGGGUAAUUGCCUCAAUAGUUAAUUUAAAAAAUAGUAUUGAGGUCUCUACACUUACGAAGGCGAAAUAUUUAAUCUCAAUUCUCCUUACGUCAUUAAUUUCGUUGACGAAAAAAAUCGCACGUGUUGUCAUAUGUAAAAAAUAAAAACGAAUGAAAAAAAUAAAAAAAUAAUUUUAUUAUCUUUUUAAAUUAUUAAUUUUAUAUAAACUUUACUAGUUUCAUCUUCUCCUCUUUCGAAAUUGUUAACCCGUCGGACUCGCUCACUCGUCGCACUUGCCCACCCUUCUUGCUUGUUGUGUGAGUGUAGUGGGUGAGUUGUUUGAAAAGAGAAGAGGAAACCAACAAAGUUUAUAUAAAAUUAAUAAUUUAAAAAAUAACAAAAUUAUAUUUUUAUCCAUUCCAUUCGUUUUUUUUUUCAUGUCAACAAAAUCAAUAACAUAAAAAGUAUUGAGGUUAAAUAUUUUAUAAGAGUUUCAAUACUAUUUUUUAAAGUAUAAAAAUUAAGAUACUAAUCAUGUUUAAUUAUAAAGGAUAAUAUAUAAUUAUCUCGGAUUCGAGGAAGGUUAAUGAUGCUUCGUGAUUACAUUUGAUUGUAUAAAAUAUUUUUAAUGAUCGGAUUUGACGAUGCUAGAGAAGGAUGCUUUAAUAUUAUAAUAAUAGUUAUAUAAUUUUCAUAGUUUCUAUGGACGUGAGUCGCAAAAUAAUUUCACGUGGAUCAUCCCCUCUCAUGCAUCAUUAAUAUGAACUUUCCCACGUUAAACGAGUGGUGCGGGAGGGAUUUUAUUCUCAAAUCCGACAUCUUUGGGAGUUCAUAUGGUAAAAAUUUCUUCGGGUGGCUAACUUGAAGCUGAGCACGAGGGUUGAAUCUGCGUUCCCAAAGGUUCCUUGCUACUUUUAUUGACCGCUAUUGCGACUGUAGGCUUCAUUUUUAAAGGGUCAACCAGAAACCACCUUCCACGGUGAAUGACCUGGACCACAAGUUGUCUUCUCUGUAGUUCCUGGUCUAUGGUGGACUCGGGCACGAGCCAACAUGAAUAUUAAAUUCGGGUCUGCGAAGGGCCACGUCGCCCGUGAAACUUCCGCUUUCGAUUGUUAUCUACGAACGCGUGAGGAGUGGGUUAUACCGCUGAAAAUGAGUAAAGAAGUCCCCAUAUACAAUAUGGGUUUAUAUAUUCUUCCUCUCACUCACGUCCUCUUCGCCUGCACUUCCAUCGUUUUUCCUGCCUCAUCUUCUCCCGUUCCCUGAUGAGGGGCCUGGCUCUCCGUAGGUUCGCUCGCUUCCUCUACUCCCUCUUCUUGUUCCCAAUCCUUAUCCCCUCCACCCUCUCCGCCUCUCCACCGCCUCCUCUCCAUGCGUCUUCGACUCCCGCGGUGGUGGCGACCUUCAAGGUCGGCCUCAUUCUCGACAUGAGCUCCGCUACCGGGAAAGUCUACAGGACGAUCGCCCGGAUGGCCGCCGACGACUUCUACGACAAAUACCCAAACUCCACCAACCGCAUCGUCCUCCUUCCCCGUGACUCCUCCCGCGACGUCGUGAACGCCGCCGCCGCUGGUACCCGGACCUCCCCUUCACGUCUUCCUUACUUGGCCCCCAAGUCUUGACUAUGACUUGUGCCGGCCGAAUAUUGACGGUUGACUGACUGAUCGCGGUUGACUGGAUGCAGCGCUGGAGUUGCUGAACGAUGACGAGGCGCACGCCAUACUCGGCCCGCAGACCUCCGUGGAGGCACCCUUCGUCGCCGAUCUCGGUGCCAAGGCCAGAAUCCCCGUCGUUUCUUUUUCCGCCACCAGCCCCGCGGUGUCCCCCGCGCGCAGCCCCUACUUCGUCCGCGCCGUCCCCAGUGACGCCGCCCAGGUCCGAGCCAUCGCCGCCAUCGUCCAGGCCUUCGACUGGCGCCGCGUCGUCGCCGUCUACGAGGAUUCGGACUACGGCACCGCCCUAGUCCCCUUCCUCGUUGACGCCUUUGACGAGGUCGGCGCUUCCGUCCCCUACCGCUGCGCCCUUUCCCCCUCCGCCACCGAGGACCACAUUUCCGCCGAGCUCUACCGCCUGAAGACGCUGCAGACGUGCGUCUUCGUGGUGCACGUUACCUUCCCGCUGGCCAUCCGCCUCUUCCCUCUCAUCAGGAGCGCCGAGAUGAUGAGCGACGGCUUCGUUUGGAUAAUCACCGAGGGGCUCACCAGCCUCCUCGGCUCGAUCGACCCGCCUACUCUGGUGCCCGACAGCAUGCAAGGCGUACUGGGGGUGAAGCCGUAUAUCCCCUGGUCCCCUCGGCUCCGAGAUUUCAAGAGGAGGUGGAGGAGGGAGUUCUUGAAGGAGAAUGCGGAUUCCGACGUCACCGAGCUCAGCAACUUCGGCAUAUGGGCCUACGAUGCGGUCUGGACCGUGGCCGCCGCCGCCGAGCGCCUCGGCUCGGUCGUCGGCCCCGGCUUCGAUAUGCCCGGGAACAAUGGAACCACGGACUUCUCUAAGCUGGGUGUGUCGAGGACCGGCCCCAAGCUUCUGGACUACAUCAAGCAAACAGAGUUCCAGGGGCUCGGAGGGAGAUUUCGUCUCGAUAACGGAGAGCUGAACGUGACGGCUUACCAGAUCAUGAACGUGAACGGGGAGAAGGCGAGGGAGAUCGGGUUCUGGACGGCUAGGCACGGGCUGACCCGGGAGCUGAAUAGUAGCAGCACGAGCGAUUACUCGGCGACGAGGGAGGGGCUGCUGCCGGUAAUAUGGCCGGGGUACUCGACGGCAGUGCCGAAGGGGUGGGUGACGCCGACGAGCGGGAGGAAGCUGCGGAUCGCAGUGCCGGGGCCGGUGGAGCCAGGGUUCCAUUCCUUCCUGGACGUGGAGCGCGAUCCAGCGACGAACGUGACCCUGGCCAGGGGAUUCGUGAUCGACGUUUUCGAGGCGGCGGUGCGGCAGCUGCCGUACGCGCUGCUAUUCGAGUACGAGCCCUACCGCAACGCCAACGGAACCAGCGGCGGCGACUACAACACGCUGGUGAAGCAGGUCUACGACAAGGUCAGUUCCAUGAUCCCUGCGCUUCGUCUCCUUCUUCUUCGAUUUCCGUGGAGAUUCUACUCCUGCGAAAGAUAGAUCCCCAUGGGUCUCUUGUGACGGACGCUCUGGAUCACGCAAUCACGAUCCAAUACGGGGGGGAUAGCUCCACUUUCCCCACUCCUAUCGGAGGUCCAUGUCGGGGCGGCAUUAUCGUGCAUCACGAUUGUGAGUUCUUUCUUGAUGCUUUGGGAGCCGCACAAGGGCCUGUGAUGGGUGGUGCAGAUGCGCCAUCGACCUCUAUCGGUCGGACAUCGUGUGAGAUGUUUGCUCCACCUUCAACCUUUCUUAGGUGGUCCAUUCAUUCUCAGUGGAGGAAGUCAUUUCCACAGUAUCCACAGAUUAAUUCGGUUGACCAAUCCAACCAUUUGACCAAUUCACUCGUGAACAGGUGGCUUUGACUACUGAAGUCAAUCAUGUUUACAUCUAUCUAGUUGGAAGCCCAAUUCGUUUUCGUUACCCAAUCAUUACAUUGCCUGGGUCGCGUGUGUAUUCAUUCAUUUGAGUGGCAUUAACAUCAAUGCCGCAAAUUUUAUUCUAUUUCUUCUCAAAGUUAUUUGUUCCUCGAAAGGCAUGGACUUCUUUGCUUUUGUUUUCUUUUCCCAGUCCAUUCGGCCAAUCUUUGACCGACUUGUUCGACUGAUUGAUAAAAUAGAGAACCAGGUCAAACACAAUAAUAAUUUGAAUGGGAGGAGACAAGACACAAAAGGAAAAACAAAGAAUUAGGUUGUGCUAUUUGUAAGAUAAUAGAUUCUGGUCUUCAAUAAAGCUCACCAUGUCAUUUCUGAAUUCAUAACAUCAAGUUUUAGGUAGUAAUUAUAUUAGAUCCCUUGAUCCAAGAGGUUGGAUUGGAGUAAUUGGAAUUAUAAUACCACAGGUAAUUGGUGGGUGUUGUAAGAAUAAUACAGAAAGACUUUCUUUUUUUUAUUCCAAAGACAGAAAAAAGACUUGUUAGGAAGACCAGUCAAAACUUUCUACAGUGCAAUCUGUGAUCCCUGAUGAUAAGAACAAAACUCCAUCUCCUGUCUCUCUCUCUAUCUAUCUGUCUUAUCUCCAUCUUUAUCUCUCUAAAUAAAUACAUAUACAGAGUUCAAACAACAAAGUGGGGAGGUGGAACUUGUGAUGAAGACGACUUUCCCAUAUUGUUAUAAGGUCAUGCUGCUCACAUGGCGUGUCCUGCAGUGCAUACGUCCAAUAAUUCAACGCGGAUGACUUCAUCCGUGACGACAGCAGCAGCUGUUGACAGCUUGUGCGUCUUUGAUCCGACUGAGUCAUCCUCGUCCUUUGCUGGUGUCAGAAAUAUGACGCAGUCGUCGGGGACGUCACCAUCACCGCCAACCGGUCCAUGUUCGUCGACUUCACCUUGCCGUACACCGUCUCCGGCGUCUCCAUGGUCGUUCCUCUCAGAGACCAGCACAGCAAGAACGCCUGGAUCUUCCUCAAGCCCCUCACAGCGGAUCUCUGGCUGGUGAGCGCCGCCUUCUUCGUCUUCACCGGCGCCGUCGUGUGGGCUUUGGAGCACAGGCGGAACGCAGAGUUCCAGGGGACGCCAGGCCAACAGUUGGGCACCGUCUUCUACUUCUCCUUCUCAACCCUCGUCUUCGCUCACAGUGAGUAAAGUCCAUUCUUUUGUUCCCCCUUUGAACCUUCAUCUGAUGUGGAUCUUCUCAGACUAAUAAUAGUUUCAUGGAUCCUCAUACAGGGGAGACCUUGAUGAGCAAUCUGUCGAGGGUGGUUGUGAUCGUAUGGGUAUUUGUGGUGCUGAUACUGCAAUCCAGCUACAUUGCGAGCUUGACCUCCAUGCUCACGGUGCAACAAUUUAGACCCACCGUCAGUGACUUCGAGGAGCUCAAGCACAGUGGGCAGCACGUGGGGUACCUCAAGAGCUCCUUCACCAAGGGACUGCUGCUGAAGCUGGGCUUCGAGGAGUCGAAGCUGAAACCAUUUCGAUCACCCCAGCAGUACCAUGAAGCGUUGUCCAACGGCAGCGUGGCCGCCAUCAUCGACGAGAUCCCUUAUCUCCGGGUGUUUCUGAAGGACUACUGUGACAACUACACCAUGGCAGGGCAAACCUACAAGACCGGUGGCUUUGGAUAUGUGAGUCUCUCUCUCUCUCUCUCUCUCUCUCUCUCUCUCUCGUGCAACUCCUCUCUUACAUGUGUGUUCUGUGAUGCUUCCUCAGGCCUUCCCCAAAGGGUCGCCACUAGCGUCGGACCUGUCGAGGGCGAUCCUGAACAUAACAGAGGGCGAGGAGAUGACCGAGAUCGAGAGACGAUGGUUCGGUGACCAGACGAGCUGCCCAAACCAAGGCAGCACGCUCUCCUCCGACACCGACCGGCUCGACUUCAAGAGCUUCUGGGGGCUUUUCCUCAUCACCGGAGCCGUGUCCAUGCUGUGCUGCAUCGUCUUUUUGUCGCGCUCCGCCUACCGUAACCGGCGCACCUUCAAAGACAUCGCUGCGGAGAAGUCCUUCAGCCGGAGACUUAUCUCCAUCGCCCGGCUCUUCAAUGCCAAGGACAGCUCCUCCCAUGGAACCAGGAGGAGGACUGAGCCCAAGCAGGUCGGGCCAGCCACGAGAGACGCGAGUCCCAGUGCUUCGCCUUACUCUAACGACGCAGAUGACCAAACCACCAUCUCCGAUCACACAUUUGACGGAGGAAGCCCUUUGCCGGAGAUUGGCAGCCCGAUAACCGAUCCAAGGCCCCAUGCUGAGAUUACCGAAGCAAGUCGCUGAUGGCAUUGCAUGGUAUUGGCACACACACCAGAGAGUUCACAUAGGAACAAGAGAGUCCAGAAUCGUACUAGUGCCUGUUCUCUCUUUGUAGUUACUGAUCCUUGCUUUCACAAGUGAUGGUGGAAGGAUACCAUCUACAGUAUAUUCUUGAUCUUGAUAUCAACAAGUAACCGGUCACAAUUUUUACAGCAUCAGAAUCAUAGUGUUUUGAUCCAAGGAUCUUAGUCUGCACGUUUGCAUGUGUGUUUGUUCUUCGCUCUUCGAUUAAUCACCAUCGGAGACCCUUUCGCUGUUUGGCGAAGGUGCUGAAAAGGUAGGAGAUGAUACCUUGAGGACUCGGACAGCCACAAAUCAUUCAUCUACAUUAGAUGGCUUUGUGGACGAACUCGUGAUGAUUUGACUUCUUUGUCCAUCUCAUAAAUUCCAUGGAUGGACCUCUCAUUAACGCGGUGGUUCGGAAGUGCGAAGAAAAGUCAGAGGAUUGGUUAGUUUCAUCAAAUAUUCCACUUAAUUUGAUCUUCUCAUGGAAGGAAUCCACUUCACAGACUUGUUUUAGCAUCAAAUCCGCCACCAUUAAUAUUACAUGAGCGAUUGAUUACGUUCAACAUG